UACGGGAAGGCAGCAGUGGGGAAUAUUGCACAAUGGGCGCAAGCCUGAUGCAGCCAUGCCGCGUGUAUGAAAAAGGGCCUUCGGGUUGUAAAGUACUUUCAGUCGUGAGGAAGGUGUUAAGGUUAAUAACCUUAGCAAUUGACGUUAGCGACAGAAGAAGCACCGGCUAACUCCGUGCCAGCAGCCGCGGUAAUACGGAGGGUGCGAGCGUUAAUCGGAAUUACUGGGCGUAAAGGGCACGCAGGCGGUUAAUUAAGUUGGAUGUGAAAUCCCCGGGCUUAACCUGGGAAUGGCAUUCAAGACUGGUUAGCUAGAGUCUUGUAGAGGGGGUAGAAUUCCAUGUGUAGCGGUGAAAUGCGUAGAGAUGUGGAGGAAUACCGGUGGCGAAGGCGGCCCCUGGACAAAGGACUGACGCUCAUGUGCGAAAGCGUGGGGAGCAAACAGGGAUUAGAUACC
rnacentral:rRNA from 1 species